GGCCGAGGAGGUUCACAAAAACAUAAUUGAACUGACAUCUUUCAGCAGCCGUGGAUGUGAUCUUGCAUAACCCCCUCAGCUGGCCCACCACUGCAACGACAGAAGAGAGGGAAGGCAUGCAAAGAGAAAACGGUCAGGAGAAGAGGACACGCACGCCACCGAGACCAUUUAGUGUUUCAGCUCAUCUAAAAAUAUCAGACUAAACAUUUACAUGGUUUUUGUGGAACACUCCCCCCCAGGCUGUUUAGAUAAAGAGCUUCAGCAAACAAACUAUCCAGCCAUAGUUGUCACUUAUGGCGACAUUUUAACCCUUAAAGCUAGUGUCAUAUUUGAUACACAAGUUUUUGUGGGUUUUUGAGACUUCUACAUAAUCAGUGUGAUUUUUCUUCC